rnacentral:lncRNA from 1 species
UGUAUCUGAUGUCGAUAGCCCUAGUGCACACCCUCAUCCACGGGCCAUUCAACCUCUUAUUAUUUUGAGCAAAUAGGCUCACAAAAAUUAGUGGAUAUCACCAGGAAGAAGCACUGCUAAAGAGUCUUCGUGCUGCUGUACUGGGGAGUUCUCAUAGCUCCAGGCAUUACUAUUUUUAAACCAAAAAAAUAUAUUUGCCUCAUAUAUUAAAUAAGAUGGGAGAACAGAGUUUCUAAGAGCUUACAACGCACACCUCCAUUUAGAAAGAGAUUACUCUUCCGGCAUGAUUGAACGCAACUUCUUAGCCCCGGCGGCUACCCAAAGGGCCACCUCGUCUUUGAUGAGGGCUAGAAUUACAAACGGCGAAGGACAUUUGUGACCGAACACACGAGAAUUACGUUCAUUUCAAAUGAUCCAAGAGAUGAGAAAGGGCAAGGAAGGCCAAAGCCUUUCGGUUGGGAACGGACGGGUUAGAGACCGUGAUCCACCACUCCUUGACGGACCCAAAAAGAUGCCAGCUUCGUCGCACAUAUAGGAGUGCACUUUUUCACACCAGUUUUAAGUUGUUACCACAUUUUUGAUACACCUUGAUACUCGACAUGUACAGGAGAUUGGCUAGGGAGGUGUGCGAAGGAAGGUGAAGUUUUAGGCGUUGGCACAAAGACGGUAGAAAGAGAUACUGCGUAUUGUUGCCCUUCCAGGCACAAAGACU